AAGCCAAGGGCUACGCAGAACAUCAUCUUGACUGGGCUCGGCGAAUGACGGCGGUAGAAUCUCUCGCCGUGAAACAUAGUUACAAAAACGUUAGUCGACUCAGGAGCUGCUGCCAACUUCAUUGAUGCCGAGAAAGACUCAAGAUUCCUCAGGAUCACCGCUAUUGAUGACAAACCUAUUGGAAAUGGCCUAGUUCAAGCCAUCAUUGCUGCCAUUCAACUGCAAGUGUGACUACUGCACAAAGAACAGGAGAACUCCGCCAAUGGUCAAGAACCUAGAACCACAAGAACCUAGAAUACAUCCGGCCUGCCAAACAUUUUAGUCCUCGCCAAGCAA